GCCACCUUGAAUUAAGUGUUUUCCUUUUAGUAAGAGAAGUUGAGACUUGAGAAAAUUGUUCGUUAGGAAACAUUUUUCAGCCAUAUGAUGGGAAGCAGAAGAAUCCCCUUUAGCAGGGGAAGAUGCUGAGCCCAUACCCCGAGGUGUUCAAGGCACUCUGGCCCCUGAAUCUCAGCUGUUGAACAGGGGCUUUGGCAGCGGUGGGGAGCACUGGAGGAGGAGAACCUGUAGCAGUAUCUUGCCACACCGGAGUGUCCUACCUGCUGAUCCCUCACUGGCUCCUGGAACUCCCUGCAAGGCUGUCCCCCAGCUGUCUUGCUUGGAGCUAGUGUUAGCAGACUGGCUGCCCUUGGGAAGGGAGCUGGUUCUUAGCAGUGCUGAAAUCCUACCCUGGAACACAGGAGAACACCAGGAGGGUUAUGGUGCAGUCUGA
rnacentral:lncRNA from 1 species